UACGUAGGGGGCAAGCGUUGUCCGGAAUCAUUGGGCGUAAAGCGCGCGCAGGCGGCUUGGUUAGUCGGAUGUGAAAAUCCGGGGCUCAACCCCGGACCUGCAUCCGAUACUGCCAGGCUAGAGGCAGGUAGGGGAGAUCGGAAUUCCUGGUGUAGCGGUGAAAUGCGCAGAUAUCAGGAGGAACACCGGUGGCGAAGGCGGAUCUCUGGGCCUGUCCUGACGCUCAGGCGCGAAAGCUAGGGGAGCAAACAGG
rnacentral:rRNA from 1 species